GGAAGAGUAGCGAAGAGGCUAAACGCGGCGGACUGUAAAUCCGCUCCUUCGGGUUCGGGGGUUCGAAUCCCUCCCCUUCCA
rnacentral:tRNA from 1 species